rnacentral:rRNA from 1 species
UGGCGGACGGGUGAGUAACGCGUAAAGAACUUGCCCUUUAGACUGGGAUAACAGAGGGAAACUUCUGAUAAUACUGGAUAAGUUAGUAUAUCGCAUGAUAUGCAAAUGAAAGCUACGGCACUAAAGGAGAGCUUUGCGUCCUAUUAGCUAGUUGGUAAGGUAAGAGCUUACCAAGGCGAUGAUAGGUAGCCGGCCUGAGAGGGUGGACGGCCACAAGGGGACUGAGAUACGGCCCUUACUCCUACGGGAGGCAGCAGUC